rnacentral:rRNA from 1 species
AUUGAACGCUGGCGGCAUGCCUUACACAUGCAAGUCGAACGGCAGCACGGGUGCUUGCUCCUGGUGGCGAGUGGCGAACGGGUGAGUAAUACAUCGGAACAUGUCCUGUAGUGGGGGAUAGCCCGGCGAAAGCCGGAUUAAUACCGCAUACGAUCUACGGAUGAAAGCGGGGGACCUUCGGGCCUCGCGCUGUAGGGUUGGCCGAUGGCUGAUUAGCUAGUUGGUGGGGUAAAGGCCUACCAAGGCGACGAUCAGUAGCUGGUCUGAGAGGACGACCAGCCACACUGGGACUGAGACACGGCCCAGACUCCUACGGGAGGCAGCAGUGGGGAAUUUUGGACAAUGGGCGAAAGCCUGAUCCAGCAAUGCCGCGUGUGUGAAGAAGGCCUUCGGGUUGUAAAGCACUUUUGUCCGGAAAGAAAUCCUUGGCCCUAAUACGGUCGGGGGAUGACGGUACCGGAAGAAUAAGCACCGGCUAACUACGUG